UUUUUCUCUUCCUCUAUUCCCAGUUUUCGGCUGGCUUGACCAUUGGGAGGUCCUUCAUUGAACACUCUUUGAUAAGUGGACUUACUUAUAAUUGCCAAUUGGCAUUCGUAUUCCAGUGUUUUUGCUUCAUUGGCUGUUAUCAAGUCAAUCUGGUGCCUAUUCGAAAGCCUAUAGCAACACGAAUCAUGUAUUAUCAUUGCAAAUUGAGGAAGAAAGAUCAAAACCUUUACUAACUUAGACCACACUAUGAAUAUCAAUGACUCCAUAUAGUGGGGCCUAAUUUAGUAAAAAAAAAAUUUUUUCUAAAUUUCUUAAUUCUAGUUUUGUGCCACCACCAUCCUACAUGCUUUGGGCUCUGUGGCACUUCGUGCCCAUGGAAAGCCUCACUCUCUCCCCUGUCUUUUCCCCUCUUCUUUCUCUCUCUCUACCUUUCUCCCUCUCUACCAUCUUUUCUUUCUUCAUUUCUUUUGGCGGGAUGGCCCAAUGUUUUUAUGCGAGUUGAACGGAUGAGGAAUUCUACAUGCACCAUAGGCGGUGUAGAAAUAUAUAUAUUAUCUGUGGUGAUUGAUUUACGUAUGGGAUCGAAAUAUAAUAUAUGAAAAAAAAAUUUUUUUAUCAAUUUUAUGUAAAAAUUAAUCAUUACGGAUCGUGUACGUAGUUUUGUAACAUCCGUGAU
rnacentral:lncRNA from 1 species